rnacentral:lncRNA from 1 species
CUUCAGCCUCCAGUUGGCUGCUUUCUGCAAACAAUCAGACUGAUUGCGGGCUACAACUUCAUUUACAUGAGUGCCCUUGGUGGACAGCACCUAAGCAUGGAGACUUCAUGCAAGUUUCUGCCCAGGGUCACUAUCUAGUGAAACUGAAAGGUUUCCACAUGGAAGCACCUGACCGCCACCGCCCAGUUCAGUCUUUCAGCAACAGUUUCCUAGUAGCUCCUGGUAAUUGAGGGAAACUGACCAGGACCGCUCUUUGGCAUUCUCUGAAGACCAAGAAGCAAACAGGGAUAGAUGCCCUGCCUGGAAGGGGAAAAGACUCUUUUCUAUCCUUUCUGGUUAUACUCCCAGAACUCUACGUGUGACACAGUUGGAUGUGGCAGCUCAUCCAGGGCGAAUUCACACACGUUUCAGAGACCAUCAAGCUUCAGAUAAUCAAGCAACAAGGUUUCCAGCCAGCUCCAGGUGAAGGCACCACCCCACCGCCAUCAAGAAGCACCCUGUCUCCACUAGACAGAGUGGGCUGAGAGUUCCGGGAUCUCCAACAGUUGUAUAAAGACCAAAUGAUAUCUUCUUCCAAAAAGAAUGAGAAGCUGAUAGCUACUAAUGGAACAGAAGACUCAAGAAGAAAGUUGGAAGUGGAAGACACUAAUUAAAGGAGGAUCCAGUUUCACUUGCACUUAGAUGUAGAAAGCCACAAAAUAAUGUGGCUUUCACAUAAACAGGAACAAAGCUGGACAAUCAAUAAAAUCAUGAUUUGCCUUGAGCUCAGCAGCGAGCUAAGGUAGCAAGGCAAACAAGUGCACUAAAUUUCAGAUGACAGGCCACUCUGAGAAGAGAUCAGGUGCAUGAAUGGCUUUACCUUUGGCAAGGCACAGCAUGAAAACGCAACCACCUUAUGGGAGGGUAAAAAGAAAACAUCAAAUUUUAACAAAUCCUUAAAGGCCACGGGUGGGUGAAAGCAAUGGUUUAGACUCCUGGUUCAUCCCAACACUAGAAAGUCAGCACUGCCUCACACGCUCUUUGUACCCCACUCUCAGUAGUCCACAGACACACAAAGCCCCAUCUGCUCACAUUUCUUGAAGAGAGACCAUUCUUGAAAUGGGAACCAAGGGCUUUGGGUCCCUGGGUGAGGGACCAAAAUAAGUCCUCUUGCCUCCAGAGCUCAGGCAAGAAUUCCUUGCCUCUGGUCAUAGAUAGAAUCCAGUAUCACUGGGAGGGUGUGGAGAACCCUUCCUUCCUCCCUCAUUCCCAGGCAAAGAUAAACUCUGAAGAGAUUUCUCAAAAACCUCCGUAUUUCCACGAUAAACCUUGCACAGAGUAACAAGUGUUAGCAACCUACCACUGGGGUUGGGGUGGGGAUAAACAGGGCAAUUCACAUGUCCGUGAUCUCCAGUAAAAGCACAAUGCUACUGAGGGAAGAGUAGAGCAAUAGCUAGCUGACACUAGGGAAGGGACAGGAAACCCCCUGGGGUCCAGCCUUCUGUACUGACAGAAAACAGAGGUUAGCUACCACUGGAGGAGGAGGAUGAAACUCUCUCCUGCCCCAAGUGCUUCAUAGAUAGUAGGGUUUGGCUACCACAUGGGCACAGGAAUGUUGAAAAAAAAAAAAAACACUUCUGAGACCCAGGUACCCAGGAUCUAGCCAAGUGAGGCUGGACCAAGACAACUAAGAGUCCCCAUCCACUCCCAUCUUUAGCCUUCCACCAAAUAACCAACAAUAGCAGUAUACAGUAUAAGAAAGAUAAGAGCAUAGCGAGACCCUUUAGUGGUUCAAGCAGUCAGGGCUUCUUAAAUCUGAGAAAACAUGGAGAAAAAUACUCUAGCACCUUAGGAUUUACAAUCAGUACAUUGUAGCAGUAGUCUACCAUUAGAGGGGUUUUGAUAUGGUUUGGCCGUGUCUCCACCGAAAUCUCAUCUUGAAUUGUAGCUCCCAUAAUUCCCACGUGUUAUGGGAGUGACCCAGUGAGAGAUAAUUGAGUCAUGGGGGCAGUUUCUGCCACACUGUUCUCAUGAUAGUGAAUAAGUCUCACAAGAUCUGAUGGUUUUAUAAGGGGAAACCUCUUUCACUUGGUUCUCAUUCUGUCUUGUCUGCUGCUGUGUAAGAGGUACCUUUCACCUUCUGCCAUGAUUGUGAGACCUCCUCAGCCACGUGGAACUGUGAGU